CCCUGAGCAAUGGCAGGGCGUGGCGCACGGCUCCGUAAAACGUGGCUAAACUACCCCCAGGACGAGAAUAACCCCGGGAAACUGGGGCUAAUUCUCGAUAGGUGCAAAGUUCUGGAAUGACUUUGCGCCAAAAAGGACUAGGAUCAUGCUUCCUAGCUCCGCCUGGGGAUGUGGCCACGGCCUAUCAGGUAGUUGGUGGGGUAACGGCCCACCAAGCCGAUAACGGGUACGGGCCCUGAGAGGGGGAGCCCGGAGAUGGCCACUGAGACAAGGGGCCAGGCCCUACGGGGUGCAGCAGGCGCGAAACCUCCGCAAUGGGCGAAAGCCCGACGGGGUCACCUCGAGUCCCACCUGCUGAAGGUGGGUUUUCCCUGGUCUAAAAAGCCAGGGGAAUAAGCGGGGGGCAAGUCUGGUGUCAGCCGCCGCGGUAACACCAGCUCCGCGAGUGGUCAUGACGUUUAUUGGGCUUAAAGCAUCCGUAGCCGGCUUGGUGUGUCUCUGGUUAAAUCUCACGGCCUAACUGUGAGACGCCAGAGAUACUACCAAGCUAGGGGGUGGGAGAAGCCGGGGGUACUCCAGGGGUAGGGGCAAAAUCCUAUAAUCCCU
rnacentral:rRNA from 1 species